UCUACUUCCUUCAGAACUGGCAAUUGCCUCACAAAUUUACGAUUGCUGAUCUUGAACGUUAUCGUCUGGAUUGGUUUGUGUAGAAGGGACAUUGAACCACUUUCUUCUUCCAUGGCUUUGAUGUGUUGACUACUUUGGAUGAAUUCUGCAGAAAAGGAUUGUUCAAGAGCAGAUUAGCAGUCAAACGUAAGCUGGGAUUCUUCACAAG
rnacentral:lncRNA from 1 species